UAGGGAAUCUUCGGCAAUGGACGAAAGUCUGACCGAGCAACGCCGCGUGAGUGAAGAAGGUUUUCGGAUCGUAAAACUCUGUUGUUAGAGAAGAACAAGGACGUUAGUAACUGAACGUCCCCUGACGGUAUCUAACCAGAAAGCCACGGCUAACUACGUGCCAGCAGCCGCGGUAAUACGUAGGUGGCAAGCGUUGUCCGGAUUUAUUGGGCGUAAAGCGAGCGCAGGCGGUUUCUUAAGUCUGAUGUGAAAGCCCCCGGCUCAACCGGGGAGGGUCAUUGGAAACUGGGAGACUUGAGUGCCGAAGAGGAGAGUGGAAUUCCAUGUGUAGCGGUGAAAUGCGUAGAUAUAUGGAGGAACACCAGUGGCGAAGGCGGCUCUCUGGUCUGUAACUGACGCUGAGGCUCGAAAGCGUGGGGAGCAAACAGG
rnacentral:rRNA from 1 species